UGGGGAAUAUUGGACAAUGGGCGCAAGCCUGAUCCAGCCAUGCUGCGUGAGUGAUGAAGGCCCUAGGGUUGUAAAGCUCUUUCACCGGUGAAGAUAAUGACGGUAACCGGAGAAGAAGCCCCGGCUAACUUCGUGCCAGCAGCCGCGGUAAUACGAAGGGGGCUAGCGUUGUUCGGAUUUACUGGGCGUAAAGCGCACGUAGGCGGACUUUUAAGUCAGGGGUGAAAUCCCGGGGCUCAACCCCGGAACUGCCUUUGAUACUGGAAGUCUUGAGUAUGGUAGAGGUGAGUGGAAUUCCGAGUGUAGAGGUGAAAUUCGUAGAUAUUCGGAGGAACACCAGUGGCGAAGGCGGCUCACUGGACCAUUACUGACGCUGAGGUGCGAAAGCGUGGGGAGCAAACAGG
rnacentral:rRNA from 1 species